rnacentral:rRNA from 1 species
AGCAGCCGCGGUAAUUCCAGCUCCAAUAGCGUAUAUUAAAGUUGUUGCAGUUAAAAAGCUCGUAGUUGAAUUUCGGGAUCAAAUUGUCGGUCGUGCUUCGGUACGCACUGGCAUUAUUGGUUCCUACCUUCUGAAGAACCGCGAUGUCAUUAAUUUGGUGUCGUGGGGAAUCAGGACUGUUACUUUGAAAAAUUAGAGUGUUUAAAGCAGGCGCACGCUUGAAUACAUUAGCAUGGAAUAAUGAAAUAGGACGUUUGAUUCUAUUUUGUUGGUUUCUAGGAUCGACGUAAUGAUUAAUAGGGAUAGUUGGGGGCAUUAGUAUUCAAUUGUCAGAGGCGAAAUUCUUGGAUUUAUUGAAGACUAACUACUGCGAAAGCAUUUGCCAAGGGUGUUUUCAUUAAUCAAGAACGAAAGUUAGGGGAUCGAAGACGAUCAGAUACCGUCGUAGUCUUAACCAUAAACUAUGCCGACUAGGGAUCGGAUGAUGUAAUUUUUAAUGACUCAUUCGGCGCCUUACGGG